rnacentral:rRNA from 1 species
AUGUCAUGGGAGAAGUUAUCUGAACCAAAAAUAAGAGGAGGCAUGGGUUUCCGGGAUUUUGAGCAAUUCAAUCUUCCGCUGCUUGGGAAGCAGGGGUGGCGUCUAAUUACGCACCCGAAUACCUUGUGCUCCAGAGUUUUGAAGGGAAAAUAUUUUCCGCACUGUGAUUUCAUGUCAGCACAAGCUCCUCGUUCGGAAUCAGCUACAUGGAAGGCUAUCAUCGAUGGCCGUGAAGCCUUGGAACAGGGGCUGAUAAAGAGGGUGGGUUCAGGUGAGUCCAUCUCUGUUUGGACUGAUCGGUGGAUCCCA